AGUGAACGCUGGCGGUAGGCCUAACACAUGCAAGUCGAACGGCAGCACAGUAAGAGCUUGCUCUUACGGGUGGCGAGUGGCGGACGGGUGGGGAAUACAUCGGAAUCUACUUUUUCGUGGGGGAUAACGUAGGGAAACUUACGCUAAUACCGCAUACGACCUACGGGUGAAAGCAGGGGAUCUUCGGACCUUGCGCGAUUGAAUGAGCCGAUGUCGGAUUGGCUUGUUGGCGGGGUAAAGGCCCACCAAGGCGACGAUCCGUAGCUGGUCUGAGAGGAUGAUCAGCCACACUGGAACUGAGACACGGUCCAGACUCCUACGGGAGGCAGCAGUGGGGAAUAUUGGACAAUGGGCGCAAGCCUGAUCCAGCCAUACCGCGUGGGUGAAGAAGGCCUUCGGGUUGUAAAGCCCUUUUGUUGGGAAAGAAAAGCAGCAGGUUAAUACCCCGCUGUUCUGACGGUACCCAAAGAAUAAGCACCGGCUAACUUCGUG
rnacentral:rRNA from 1 species